AAGUUCACAGCACUGUCUUUCUGUCACUGUCUCCUGCUAUUCUUCAGAAAUUUCCUGACUUCAAAGAGAGCAGAGCUACAGCAGCACAGUCUUCCUUUUACGGUGUCUGAAUUCGGACCCAGGAUUCUGUACGAUGCUCUGAGCCUCCCCAGUGCAUCCAGUGGCCACCAUAGACGCCCCAAACCAUCUUCCAGAGGCUGCAGCAACAACAUGAGACAUCUGCACACCCAACUCCAGGGCUGCAAGUCUGAACAUGACCUGCUGAUCAUCCCCAGUCCCUCAUCAUGCUGCUGGGGUGCUGGAUCUCAGGAUUCCUCCUGGACCCCAAAGCUGGGCGAUGGCUAGCGAAUACCAACAUGCUGCAUAAUCCCGAGUGCUUCACCGAUGAGUCACCACCCUGUAGCGCAACAGCCUCUUCAAGCCUGAGCCGUCUCCGCCACAGUCUUCCAAAGUAGCUCAGU
rnacentral:lncRNA from 1 species